AUUGAACGCUGGCGGCAUGCUUUACACAUGCAAGUCGAACGGCAGCGCGGGCUUCGGCCUGGCGGCGAGUGGCGAACGGGUGAGUAAUGCAUCGGAACGUGCCCAGUAGUGGGGGAUAGCCCGGCGAAAGCCGGAUUAAUACCGCAUACGACCUGAGGGUGAAAGCGGGGGACCGAAAGGCCUCGCGCUAUUGGAGCGGCCGAUGUCGGAUUAGCUAGUUGGUGGGGUAAAGGCUUACCAAGGCGACGAUCCGUAGCUGGUCUGAGAGGACGACCAGCCACACUGGGACUGAGACACGGCCCAGACUCCUACGGGAGGCGGCAGUGGGGAAUUUUGGACAAUGGGGGCAACCCUGAUCCAGCCAUGCCGCGUGCGGGAAGAAGGCCUUCGGGUUGUAAACCGCUUUUGUUCGGGAAGAAAUCCUCUGGGCUAAUACCCCGGGGGGAUGACGGUACCGGAAGAAUAAGCACCGGCUAACUACGUG
rnacentral:rRNA from 1 species